rnacentral:rRNA from 1 species
UGACUGCGUACCUUUUGUAUAAUGGGUCAGCGACUUAUAUUCUGUAGCAAGGUUAACCGUAUAGGGGAGCCGGAGGGAAACCGAGUCUUAACCGGGCGUUAAGUUGCAGGGUAUAGACCCGAAACCCGGUGAUCUAGCCAUGGGCAGGUUGAAGGUUGGGUAACACUAACUGGAGGACCGAACCGACUAAUGUUGAAAAAUUAGCGGAUGACCUGUGGCUGGGGGUGAAAGGCCAAUCAAACCGGGAGAUAGCUGGUUCUCCCCGAAAGCUAUUUAGGUAGCGCCUCGUGAAUUCAUCUCCGGGGGUAGAGCACUGUUUCGGCUAGGGGGCCAUCCCGGCUUACCAACCCGAUGCAAACUGCGAAUACCGGAGAAUGUUAUCACGGGAGACACACGGCGGGUGCUAACGUCCGUCGUGAAGAGGGAAACAACCCAGACCGCCAGCUAAGGUCCCAAAGUCAUGGUUAAGUGGGAAACGAUGUGGGAAGGCCCAGACAGCCAGGAUGUUGGCUUAGAAGCAGCCAUCAUUUAAAGAAAGCGUAAUAGCUCACUGGUCGAGUCGGCCUGCGCGGAAGAUGUAACGGGGCUAAACCAUGCACCGAAGCUGCGGCAGCGAACGUAUCACCCAAGACAACUUUACGGAGUUGACGAUUGACGGAGCGAAGCGACGUCAAAGCGUUCAUUAAAGUCGAGUUGGCUUAGGGAUACGUUCGUUGGGUAGGGGAGCGUUCUGUAAGCCUGUGAAGGUGUGUCGUGAGGCAUGCUGGAGGUAUCAGAAGUGCGAAUGCUGACAUAAGUAACGAUAAAGCGGGUGAAAAGCCCGCUCGCCGGAAGACCAAGGGUUCCUGUCCAACGUUAAUCGGGGCAGGGUGAGUCGACCCCUAAGGCGAGGCCGAAAGGCGUAGUCGAUGGGAAACGGGUUAAUAUUCCCGUACUUGGUGUUACUGCGAAGGGGGGACGGAGAAGGCUAUGUUGGCCGGGCGACGGUUGUCCCGGUUUAAGCGUGUAGGUGUGUGUUCCAGGUAAAUCCGGUUCACUUUAACACUGAGGCGUGACGACGAGGCACUACGGUGCUGAAGCAACAAAUGCCCUGCUUCCAGGAAAAGCCUCUAAGCAUCAGGUAACACGAAAUCGUACCCCAAACCGACACAGGUGGUCAGGUAGAGAAUACCAAGGCGCUUGAGAGAACUCGGGUGAAGGAACUAGGCAAAAUGGUGCCGUAACUUCGGGAGAAGGCACGCUGACACGUAGGUGAAGUGAUUUACUCAUGGAGCUGAAGUCAGUCGAAGAUACCAGCUGGCUGCAACUGUUUAUUAAAAACACAGCACUGUGCAAACACGAAAGUGGACGUAUACGGUGUGACGCCUGCCCGGUGCCGGAAGGUUAAUUGAUGGGGUCAGCGCAAGCGAAGCUCCUGAUCGAAGCCCCGGUAAACGGCGGCCGUAACUAUAACGGUCCUAAGGUAGCGAAAUUCCUUGUCGGGUAAGUUCCGACCUGCACGAAUGGCGUAAUGAUGGCCAGGCUGUCUCCACCCGAGACUCAGUGAAAUUGAACUCGCUGUGAAGAUGCAGUGUACCCGCGGCAAGACGGAAAGACCCCGUGAACCUUUACUAUAGCUUGACACUGAACAUUGAGCCUUGAUGUGUAGGAUAGGUGGGAGGCUUUGAAGUGUGGACGCCAGUCUGCAUGGAGCCGACCUUGAAAUACCACCCUUUAAUGUUUGAUGUUCUAACGUGGACCCGUAAUCCGGGUUGCGGACAGUGUCUGGUGGGUAGUUUGACUGGGGCGGUCUCCUCCUAAAGAGUAACGGAGGAGCACGAAGGUUGGCUAAUCCUGGUCGGACAUCAGGAGGUUAGUGCAAUGGCAUAAGCCAGCUUGACUGCGAGCGUGACGGCGCGAGCAGGUGCGAAAGCAGGUCAUAGUGAUCCGGUGGUUCUGAAUGGAAGGGCCAUCGCUCAACGGAUAAAAGGUACUCCGGGGAUAACAGGCUGAUACCGCCCAAGAGUUCAUAUCGACGGCGGUGUUUGGCACCUCGAUGUCGGCUCAUCACAUCCUGGGGCUGAAGUAGGUCCCAAGGGUAUGGCUGUUCGCCAUUUAAAGUGGUACGCGAGCUGGGUUUAGAACGUCGUGAGACAGUUCGGUCCCUAUCUGCCGUGGGCGCUGGAGAACUGAGGGGGGCUGCUCCUAGUACGAGAGGACCGGAGUGGACGCAUCACUGGUGUUCGGGUUGUCAUGCCAAUGGCACUGCCCGGUAGCUAAAUGCGGAAGAGAUAAGUGCUGAAAGCAUCUAAGCACGAAACUUGCCCCGAGAUGAGUUCU